UUCAACUUUUCCCCUCCUUCCCUUCCCCCCCUCCCCUAAAUGGCAGGUAGUCCCAUACAUGUUAAAUAUGUAUAACUGAUUCUUAAGAAAGAAUCUGGAAACUGCCUUACCUUUAUUUCCAAACCUUUAAAGUGAAAAGACAUCAAGUUUUUACUUUGUGCACUUUGGGUUUUUUAGCAUAAACAAUAUUUUAUCAUAUUUGGGCAAUUUGUAAAAUUGUAUAAACUCUUUGGUUCAUGGCUAGAAAUCCUGGGUAUUCAUUUUUAUAAACUCAUUACUCAAAUGGAUCGGUGAUUGUGUCAUUUGGGGCAUGUUCUUGACUGAUGCAGAUGGAGGACCAUCCAGGGUGAUUCUUGUCCAUUUCUUCCCCAGAUGUGCCACGUGAGAGCUGCCUAAUGUUGGAGGCCUGCCUCCCUUCCCUUUGGCAUCGAUUGGUCUUUCCCUCAUCCAUGUUCUGUGAAACCACCCAGAGAAGAGCAUUGCCGUCCCACUUCCCAGGCGGCCUACCCUGUCCCAUCUUGGCUUUCCAUACCCUCUGAGGAAGGAAGGUGUGGGAUGCCGACAGCAGCACUCCAUCUCCUCUUCUCGGCUUUGGGUUUUUAUUGCCACUGUUCUCUCUGAGUCACUGUUUUUCACUCAGGCUACAGCACUUGACUGUCGGUUUCCCCGACUGUCCUGUGAGCACAGGCAUCAUUUCUUGCUCAUAAAGAACUUUGUUAUUUGAGGCCUUCCAGUUCAUCUUCCACCAAUCCGUCAGUCUGGUGUUUCCCCAAUUUUAUAUCCAGACUUCAAAAUGAACCCUGUCGGGCCCCUGGAGACUCUCUAGACUGACUCUGAGCCAUCUGUGAUUUCAGCCAUGUGGGUCUUGCCCCACCGACCCUAAUUGCAGGAGUACUGGUUUUGGUGUCAAAGGACUCUGUCUCCAUUCCUGGCUCUUCCAUUUACUAGCUGUAUGACUCUGGGCAGAAUCCUUCCCAUGUGUAGGCAGAGCUGGACCUCGAAAAUCCUUCCCAGUUCUGUGAACCCAAGGCCAAGGAACUUGGGAAUUCUUCUGUACCUCAGUAGAAGGUCUCCGAGAGUGCUGUGGUCACAGAAGUCAUUGACUUGCCCACAGACCAGCAUGGAGUCUCUCCACAUUCAACUAGCUUGGUCCUUAGAUGACAUAGUUUGUUUCCGACCUUGGACUGGGAAGUCUGAUACAGACCCUGAUAGAGCUUGGAUUCUGUCAGUGUAGCCUUUUCCAUUUUGCCCAAACGAGGCACAGGAAGAAGGCCUUCUCUUCUCCCGCUUGACUGUUGCAUGUAACUUAGAAGCCAAACACCAAAUUUAGAAGCAGAGGAAUUUUCAUGAAGAUUAUAUGACUGGAUGAUUGCUGAGUGUGACUUGGGGCUUCCAAGUUGUACCUAUUUUUGCACACUCAGCCUGCAGAUUUCACAGACUGGAGGAGCUCGGUUGCCGCCUCCCUUGUCCUGGACCCCUAAAGGACAGAGUAGAUCUGUUUUAGAACAGACAGAGUGGGCAGUUUUCCUAUGCCAAUGAAGAGGCCAGUCAGUGGUUAGAGGAUCAGAUCUCUGUCUGGAGACAGCAAAAUCAGUCCAUCUUGCUCUCUGGAGAUACAGGAUUGGUCAGCAUUCAGGUAAGACCUAUUAUGAAUUAGGCACCUUCACGUCCACACUUUGACCACUCAGCUUUAGAGAUGUCAGGGAUUAUCCUUGUCAGAAGGCCUGCUUGCAGGGUCAUGGGCUGGGACAUUGCUCCGAUCUCAGACAAUGAACUUUUCUUGGGGAAAAAAAUUUAGGCACCUGUUGCUUUCUAGGCGUAAGGAAAGCCCAGUAUGGGAAUUUCCUCUACCCAGGCAGGCUGAUGAGUUUUCUGUGCCUUAUUUUUAGAAGUAGCUUAAUUGGAAUAAAUGUAAAGCCUGGACUAGAUGUGGGAUAUCUUAGGAAGAGUGAACACCCGAUGAGGAAACACCUAUCAAUGCAUAUCAGUCCGUGCUCUUGCAACUUAGAGAAAUACCUGUAAAGUCUAGUGGGUUUCAAAAAGGCAACUUCAAAAAUGGAAGCUAGCGGAGUUUGUCUGAAAAACAUAUGUAACUCUUAGUGGAUCACACACCGUGAGGGUGGUAUGAUAUGGCAUCCAGAAAAAUUAAUGGUAUUACCCUGAUUCCUUUCCAAUACAUCCACAACAAUCUAUUCUAGUUACAUUCAUUUAGUUCCUGGGUAUGUCUCCAUAGUCUCUAUGUUUUAUAUAUUCUGCAGUUUCUUUAAAUGGAAUUUCUCCUCUCUCUACCUACUAGAUUUU